GGGUGCUCGCUUUGGCCUCGGCAUGACUCAUAGAUGCAGCUGACCCAACACCACUGUACUGAGCUUACUGCAGCCGUGGUUUGCUCAUUGUGAGCUCAAGCGAACAGCAGCAAUUCAAAAGAGGAGACGGCUAUGUUUUGACAACUGCGGCGGAUCAUUCAGGGAUCGUGGCUCACUGCCAGAAUGUGGAGUCUCUGCUGGGCUCAGGCAAGCAACACUGAAAGCCGUCUGACUGGGACGGUUGGGAUGCAGGAGGAGAACAGAAGGCGCGAGAGGGUGGGCGCUUUGCUCUGUACGGUGUCUUAGGCAGUGACGACAUGAGCACCCACACUCACACCCCGCCUCCCCUUGUACACACUCCCUCUCUUGGCAGUCAUAGUGAUGCUGUCCUCUUAUCAACUGCAGCCUCUGAUUGGAGGUGGCCUUCCAAGGAGGCUGAGGAGACAAAGGAAGAUAACAGUAUUACUUUAAAGGAGGAGAAGGAUGAGAGGGGCAACAGGGGCAUGCGGUGACCUUUGGAGGAGCAGAUGCUCAAAGUAAAAAAAAAAAAAGAUGCACGUGUAACUGAUGGCAUACCUUGGGUUUAAACCCACAUCAGCACUUGACUGCCAGCAAAAUGUCAGCACCAUCAGAGAACAUAUAAACAUGCAGUUUGAGCUGUAAUUUAACAGAAACAAUUUACAAUAUAACUCAUUGGACUAUUUGUGCAAGACUGAAAUGACAAAACCUUAAUCUUGAACAGGCUGAAUGAAUUGUUUGUUCACGAUCAAUCUUACAUUGGACCAGAAGAAACCACGUCAUUGUAACUCACCUCAUACUUGUUUUAGAUGGUGUAGAAUGCUUAUUGGCGAUGGGAAAGUGAAACUUCAAUUUUUGUUCUUGAAGCAGUUGUAUAUCUUGACUCAUUUAAAUGGCACAAAAUUGGCCUGAAA